GGCGUAGACGGUGUGGCAAGUCUGAUGUGAAAGGCAUGGGCUCAACCUGUGGACUGCAUUGGAAACUGUCAUACUUGAGUGCCGGAGGGGUAAGCGGAAUUCCUAGUGUAGCGGUGAAAUGCGUAGAUAUUAGGAGGAACACCAGUGGCGAAGGCGGCUCACUGGCUCGAUACUGACGCUGAGGUGCGAAAGUGUGGGGAGCAAACA
rnacentral:rRNA from 1 species